ensembl:lncRNA
GCUGUCGCUGUUAUUGAGGAAGAGAGGCAGCUGAAGUUGACAGUCGAGUGUGACAGUAGAAACACUCACAGUCUUGCUUUCUACGCUCCUGUAACUUUAAGGCAAGGGUUUGACCCGUGCUGAAGACCCACUAGAAGGUUUGGAAUGGUGUGACUUAUCAUCAAUGCCUGCAGGUACGCCCUGAAGAAGAUCCGGGCUGCCGUCCGCAGUGAGGAGCAGCCAAAGGCCUCCAGCAGUGCAGAACGUAGCAAGGUCAAAGGGAGGAAGGGGGGCGAUGAGGACGGCGGAGAUGGGCGUGGCUUCAUGUCGGUCCCAUCCUUAGAGGUGGCGGAGCAGGACGAGAUGACGCAGUGCGGCUCCUGAGGUUAAAGGUUGGGGAGGCCAAUCCAUGAGAAGACACACACACACACACACACAGAUACAUACACCCACACGGACACACUGACACGCGCACGCACACACAAACACAUACACCGACACACACAACGACACACACACACACUUAAACAACGGCCUAUUUCUACCACUUUCACCUACACUAGAAACUCUUCACAGAAGGAUGAGAAUUAACAAAAUGCACGCUGACGACACCACCACCCAUCCACCUCUACCUGAUCAGCCUUUGUCCCUCUGGGAUCAGCGGGAUUCACUUCCUGAACAGUUCCCCCACAAUACUCGCUCUCUUCCUCUUGAGGCUCUCACACACACACAUACUGGGAUUUCAUUAGGGUUUCAAACUGAGGCUGUUAACACAAAAGCCUCUUUGUUCGUCAGACAUUUGAGAUAUAUAUUAAGGUCUGCACACACAGACACACACACACACACACACACACACACACACACACACACACACACACACACACACACACACAAACCCAAUCAAAGGAACACACUGAUACAAACAUUAAGUCUUCCACUUUAAGUCAUCGGCCUCUUCGGAGACGGACUGCUCUCCCCCACCGCCACCAGCUCCUCCCCCACCACCAGAAGCUCCUCCCCCAACACCCAGAGCUCCUCCUCCAUCGGAAGCUCCGCCCCCCCCCACCAUCCACCUCAAGCCGCCAGUGACAGAAUUCAUGAAAGCCCGAUCGCAAAGUCCGCACUGCGGGGCCCGGUCGGGCUGGAUGGCCUGAAGGCGUCUGCCGCUGGCUCAGAGCCGCAGUCUGGAGGUUCACCUCGUCUGCUUCAGUCUUACUGUGUUGUCUCAUUGUAUCCACGAGGAGGACAAUGUUCCCCAAGUGGUGUACAAAUCUGGAAGAUGAUCAUUAAUGAAUGGAUAUUCAGACAUCUAUACGUAUUAAAUGAAAUUAAUGAAUUAAUGGGAAAAACUUUGAUUCAUGUUUUUCUGUCAUUAUUUACGAACAUAUACACUUCUGUACUUGAUGCAUCAAUUUGAAAGAUUCAAUGAUAAACAAUGAACAUUGUCGUUUUUAUAUUUUCUGUAUUAUUAAGACAUCUGAGAAAUGAUCUCAUGUGAGCCUAAGCUCCUUGAACAAGCCAAUUAUGGUACUGUCACGAUCCUACUGUUGGGUAAGGUUAAGCUGGUUGGUAACUGGUGGUCAUGGUAACGGUGGGAGUGGCUCCCUUAAUUAGUUGAUUGGGGUCACCUGGGGGAUCCAAGAUGGUGGAUAUAUACAGCAUGGUGGCCAGUGGUUACAGGCCCCGGCAGGAUAAGACUUUGUAAAGCCAUUCACCCAGAAGCCAGCACACACCAGAGCUAAGGAGUCCAACGGGGGAACGUGACCGCCCCUUCACCAUCUUUGUUUGUCAAGUGUUUGUCUAAACAUGUAAACCAUAACUGAACGAGACAGCUACCGUUCACCACAACGCUUGGGCUAUCUCCAUAGCAAGAGAGAGAAGGACCAGCGCUCACCAGGAACCCAGGUGAGUCACUACACAUGUGCCCCGGAAGCUAGUUGCCUACCAGCUGUGGUUAUACUACGUAUGUGUCUCGACUCCUGCCUAGACAGAGAGCCGGUUUUCCCUAGAUACCAGUGGGGUCGUGACAUAAUAAUGUCACGAUCCUACUGUCGGGUAAGGUUAAGCUGGUUGGUAACUGGUGGUCAUGGUAACGGUGGGAGUGGCUCCCUUGAUUGGUUGAUUGGGGUCACCUGGGGGAUCCAAGAUGGUGGAUAUAUACAGCAUGGUGGCCAGUGGUUACAGGCCCAGCAGGAUAAGACUCUGUAAAGCUAUUCACCCAUAUGCCAGGACACACCAGAACUAAGGAUUACAACGGGGGAACGUGACCGCCCCUUCACCAUCUUUGUUUGCCAAGUGUUUGUCUAAACAUGUAAACCAUAACUGAACGAGACAGCUACCGUUCACCUCAACGCUUGGGCUAUCCCCAUAACAAGAGAGAGAAGGACCAGCGCUCACCAGGAACCCAGGUGAGUCACUACACACGUGCCCCGGAAGCUAGUUGCCUACCAGCUGUGGUUAUACUACGUAUGUGUCUCGACUCCUCCCUAGACAGAGCCGGUUUUCUCUAGAUACCAGUUGGGUCGUGACAGUACCCUCUCUCUCUAUAUGUACAUCUUCAAUUGACAGAUAACAAGAACAAUUUCCGUCUCAUCCUCCACAUCAUCACACCGCCUGUCUUCCGAGAGAAGAGAAGAUAAGACAUAGAGCCCAAUCUCUUCACAGAAGGGCGAGCAUUAACAAAAUGUUCUUCUGCUGCAGCUUCUGGGAACUCAGAAUUGAGACUUUGCACCUAAGUCUGUGUGUGUGUGUGUGUGUGUGUGUGUGUGUGUGUGUGUGUGUGUGUGUGUGUGUGUGUGUGUGUGUGUGUGUGUGUGUGUUUGUGUGUUCAUUUGCGUGGGAAAAAAAAAUAAAACUCCUUUCACAAUUUAGCAUGUGUUAUGAAAUUGCAGCCUGCACAACCAAACAACUUCAAGUCUAGAAUCAAACCGGAUUACUUGGAGAUGACUUGCCCUAAAGGGUAACCCUAACCCUAAUCCAUGUUCUAAAUCUAAACUGAAGCCUCAUUCUAAACUAAAGCCACAUCCUUAACUAAAAGCACGUUCUAAGUUCAAGCCACGUCCUAAAGACACUUUCGAAACUAAAGCAACAUGCUAAAAUAAAGCCUUUUUCUAAAGCCACAUUCGACAGUUAAAGCCUCAUUCUAAACUAAAGCCUCAUUCUAAAUUAAAGCCAUGUUCUAAAGCCACUAAAGCAUUCUAAAGCAUCAUUUAAAACUAAAGCAACGUUCUAAAAUCACAUCCUAUACUUAAGCCUGAUCUGAUCUAAAGCCCCAUUGUAGCACAUUCUAAUUUCACAUUCUUUAGUAGAGACAUGUUCUCAUAUAAAGUCACAUUGUAAUUUAUUCUAAAAUCGAAGUUCUAAUCUGAAGCCACAUUCUGGACACAGUCUAAACUAAGCUACGCUCUAAAGAAUGCCACGUUCUGGCAUAUUCUAAACUCAUAUUCUAAAGCCACGUUCUGAAAUAAAGCUGCAUUGUACACUAAAGCAUGUUCUAAUCUUAAGCCACAUUGUAAACUAGAGCAUCUUCUACACUUAAGCUGCAUUCUAAACUAAAACCAGGUUCUAACUUAAGCCACAUUCUAAACUAAAGCCAGGUUCUGAAAUGCGUUCUGACAACAUUUCCAGCGAUAAGUGUGCAUUUAAUUAGAUAUUGUCAAACUGCGACUUCUGCCACCUUCUGAACCCUUGCCUGUCUGACUACCAGCCUACUGCUAAACCCGCGUCUGUCUGACUACCAGCCUGUUGCUGACACUCGCCUGUCUGACUACCAGCCUGUUGCUGACACUCGCCUGUCUGACUACCCGAAUGCCUUUGAGCUCGUCUGCCUGGUCCCUGCUUUACUAAUUUCUUUCCCUCAGUAAUCACCUUUAUUAUUUACUCCUCUCUGUAUCCUUGUCUCUGUGUUGAGCCUUUGAAUCCACUCUCUCUAUAUUCCAUGGCAGUAAUCUAGGUCAAUUACUGCUAUUACCGUCAAAGGGUUACAUGGCACGGCCACGACCGCUUAUUUAUAACAUCCUGAGGAACUUCAAUCGAUAGAUUACCAUCUGGUUAUCAAAGGCUUUUCGUUUAUUGGGGGACUGCUGCCCUAAAGAACGCAGUGUAUAAGAAUGUAUAAGAACUCCUGACUUUAGCCACUCAGUGGACUUCUCCUUGCGAACCUUUAGAGAGAAGUGAGACACAGGGCGAACUCCCAUCUGAGGCCUCAGAUUAUUGUAGUGUAUGCCUGUUAUGUUGUUUGUUGAUGCAUGUUGUGAUGUAUCUUUGUUCGUCCUUUUAUUACAAAUGACCACCAAUUGCCUACAAGUAUUGUGUGCUUUUUGCAUCUAAAUAUCUCAUCUGUCUUAGACGCAAACUCUGAUAGAGAAAUUUCCACGAUACGAGUUGGUUGAAGCAAUUUGUUUGAGUUGUGUUAUCAUCCAAGCUGUUAGGUUCAGAGCUAUUCUAUAUUGCUGAUGUUUCAAAUAAAACAUUUAAAGUGACCCAGGGAUGACAUUCAUUCUCCUUAAAGGGGAACUAUGCAACUUUUUUUAAAUGUACCUCAAUAUAACAGGUUAAGGGCCCUAUCUUGCAUCCGGCGCAAGUGACUUAGUCACUGGCGCAUGUGUGGUUGCUAGUUUACAACUGGCGCAGAGCGUUCUUUUCCCACCACCGCCACUCGCCGGUAAAUUAGGGAUUGAUCAUGCGCACCAAGGGGCGGUUCGGCGGAAGGAGGAGGUGUGUUCUGGCGCAAACGGUAUUUUGCCGUUUCUGAAUACCAUUGCGCUACUGACCAGGGAAUAGCUGGUUUAAAGUCAGUGGCGCGUUGUUCAGAUGCUAUUUUAAGGGCGCAUUCAUACAUGCGCAUGCGAUGCAUACGGAUUGCUUGUGCACCUCGCGCAUACACUUUGCUUCUCCCAUCUACCUAGCCGCACAUUCUUGGUAAAUUAUUUGGGAAAGAACAGCUGAUGCAGCGGUAAUAAGUUGUACUUUUAAAUCAAUGCAUCUGCAAACACCGUACAGCAAACACAUAUUUUCUUGACACACAUCGUGUAGGCCUACAUGCCCAUAACUUUUAGGAUUGAAUUUGAUCGUGAGUAUUUGAUCGUGAAAAACAUUGUUUUACCGCGAGUGAGUGAAUGAAAUGAGGGCGCGCGUGUGUGCUCUGUUUAAACACACGCAAACUAAACGCGUAACGCAUAAUACAUCAAUGGCAAUGUCUAUUACCGCGGGGACACAUGCAUAUUAGGAUAGCAUACAAUACUGAUAAGAAACAAUGUUUAUAAUGUAUUGCGUAUAUCAUUAAAUAGAACCACAGUUACCGCAUAUCAUAUGUUAAUAUCAUAUACGUUUUCUUUGCCGAAAUUUAUUUGAGGACUCAGUAUUUCUGAAGUUGUGGAAGAAAACCCCUUAUUCCAUGUGUGAAUUAGGCCAUAUUAUUUGGCAAAACUGAGCCAUUUACAGUUUGAAAUCCAUGUGCAUCUGUCUCAUCGGAGACUGCAGACGCGCUGUCAAAAUAUCCACUCGUCCGAUUCAAAUGCGCUCAUGGCUCUUAAAGGGGAUGGGAGCUGGCACUCUCAUUGGCUUGUUACGCCCAAACCACAACUACGGGUAACUAGGCUGCUUCAGACCAACCCUUUUGACACUUGCGCCGCGACGCAAGUGUCAUUUAUCCGCCUGUAAAAUAGCGAUAGCGCCGUAGAACCGCCCACAAAGCUGGUUGCGCUUUGCGCUUCCCACUUGUGUUUCAGACCGUUAAAAUAGGGCCCUAUGAGUCAUUGUGCUGGUUCUAUAACACUUUAUUUGUCGAUUGGUCACUGUUUCGACUCCCCCUAGCGCAUCUUGGCAGCAAAGGGGAAUAUGCAAGGUUCUGCCGGCGACCUGCCGCCCACUCUCGCUAGCGGUGUAACGAUACAUCGAUCUACAUCGAUAUAUCGAUACAUUGUCGAUCGAUCAUUGUCGUUGCUAUCCCUGAUAGCUACCUUACACACACACAAUUAAAUGGAAAGAAUUUUAACAAUAGGAAAAGGAAAGAUUUAUGAACUAUAAUAGACAAAAAAUAUUAGCUUACUUUCUGGUCCCAUAGCUCUGAAGCCUCAUAUAUGAUGCUCUGGAAGGCCGCUUCUUUCUCCUCCUCACUUAGAAAGGGCAGAGUCUUGAAUCUUGCAUCCAAAGCAGAUGCUAUGUGGAGGACCUGCUGCACAUCCUGGUAGCGCUAUGAUAGCUCCCUGGACAAAGUUGCCUUCAUCUCUCCUAGUAAAGCAGAGUCUUCUUCUGUGAUACGGUAAUGCACCAGCAACUUUGCUCUGAGUGGAGCAAUGACCGACAAAGUGGGUUGUUUCUCUACACACAUUAUUGUGGUGGCGGUUCUGACUGGUCCGAGGAGCUUUACCAUGUCUUCUGCAGCAGUGAUGUCACUUUCACUGAGUGUGUGUGAAUGUCAUUCACACCUUUCCUUAUUUACCUGUCCAGGAGUGAAGCACAAACAGCAGCCUGCUGCUCCAAAAAUCGCUCAAGCAUAUCAAAUGAGCUAUUCCAGCGUGUGCUCACGUCUUGUAUAAGCUUGUGUAUGGGGAUUCCAAGCAACUUUUGCUUCUCUUUUAAAACUGCCGUUGCUACCGUGCUCCGGUGAAAAAACGUGACGAUUCGUCUCACUCUGCCCAAAAGACGAGUUGCACCCGCACAUUUCAGGCCUCUCUGUGUGGCCAAAUUAAUUGUAUGCCCGAAGCACUUGAUGUGAGGUGUCAUUUUCGCCUCUGCUCCGGCUACCGUCAUAUUGCUGGCGUUAUCUGUGACAAGCGCGGGAUUUUUGUCGGGAAUAUUCCACUCUUCACAUGCCUCUCUCAAAACUGACGCAAGAUUUGCACCCGUGCGUGAGUCGUUCAAAACACGAGUCUGAAGAACAAAAUUCUUCAUCUGCCAGUCAGCAUCAAUAUGGUGGCUGGUCACGGUUACGUACGCUUCUGUUGUACAGGACGUCCAGCCAUCUGUAGUCAGAGCGACUCGUUUUGCUUCCAUCAACUCACGUUUAACGUUGUGUGGAGGUGGGGCGGCGUCUGGCCUGCAGGGGAGUAUGGAGCACCGGGUCUGCUGGGGUGAUGGGGUCUGAUUGCGGACAGGUGUCUGCAAUCUGACCCAAUCAGGAAGUGUGUAUUUAUGUGCCUGCUUGUCUUUCUGUGAGGGAGAAUGAGAGAGAGAAGGAAGACGCUCUCCGUGAGCCAGAGAGAGCGUCGUAAGACCACGAGAUGGACGGAAUGAACAUUCAACGUCGUCCUUUUUGUUCUUGUGGCAUUGUUUGUUUGCCCGAAGUGGAAAUAAACAGGAGUUCGCUCCAAUUCGCUAAAGAACUGUGUCCUGACUCCGGUGAACAUGUUACACGUUGUCUUUAGCUUCGGCAAAGUGCAGUAACUACGUAUUUUGUCAAAAUUGAGUUCAGACUGAAAAUGGGUUUUAUAAAACCUUCUUUGUCUUGAGACAAAAACUCUUGGUCCAACUGUGUCCCGUUUCAGAGAUAUCCCUAGGUCAAAUUUGCAGUAACUACAAAAUCCAACCUAAUACCAAGGCUAAACGCAGUAAGUGAAGUUACUGCGUUCUGCCUUUGUUCACCCGGCUUUGACACAGUAGAUACUGCGGUCUGCCUUAGUAGCCCAAUCCGAAUCUACUGAGGAAAACUCAUGGUGGAACUUGCUUUGAAACGCAAGUAUCCAGACAAUGGUAAGGACGAUGGAAAAAUAUCAACAACUGACCUAAAUCUAUUAAACCAUUUUAGCCAACCUGCUCCCUUGAAGCCUGUAGCAUCUUUCCACUCUGGAACCGCUGUUAUAGUCAAAUUACGAUCACGUCGCUGUUUUGUUUCUUGUCUUCAUUUCUGAAACUAUUUUCGUUUCGGGGAAGCUAAUCCAACUGAUGUGAAGAUAACAAAAUCAGCCUACUCAUUUAGUUAGUCGACUCCAUUUAAGUCACUGUUACUUUAGCAUUCUAGAGUUAGCUGAUUUCCUGAGGAGAGCCGUGCAGCGCCUGCAGCCGCAAAUACGAUAUUGAAUGAAAAUGAAAUGUCCAUUUAGAUUGGUUGUUUACUUCUCAUUCCACACGCUACAUCACAUGGUUAAGGUAAAAUAUCGCAUUGUCUAAAGGAUAGCCAAUGAAGUUCAAGCACAAAGUCCAAAGGUUGCAAAACCACCAUCGAGAUCAGUUGACGUCUUCGGUUCAUUUCUUCUAUUGUAUAAAAUAGCAGUCACUCAUUUUGACGUUAGAUCUAGUUUGGGAUAUAAUCUGCAAGUAUUUUUUUAUUAUAUCUACCUUAUCUGUAGUUCUUAUGGUUAUUAUAUUUCAAACUAAUGUAACUGAGUGACCUCUAUGAAUUGUUGAUCGUCUUUUGCCACUUCUUGCCAAAACAUUAAUAUCCAAUCUUGUAUAAUACUUACUUUAAUGCACACAUGUAUGCAUCCAAGAGUUCCAGUGAAUCACUUAUCUAAGCUUCCCACUGGCUGCCACCAUGCAGUAGCCCCCCCCCCCUUCAUUUUCUAAUUAAAAUGAAAAUCCACAAACCAAAAUACUAUUGAUUGUGUGUAAAAUGUUAAGGAUAUUUGGGAAGAUAAUGGCAAUGUUGAUGACAAAAAAACGCAAUUGAAGGGUUUGAUUUCAAAAUGCUAUCUACUAUUUAUAUUGUGUAUCUCCAGUGAUAUCAACAAAAUAGUAUUUUUGUUGUUUUGUUAAAGUUAAGAUACAUCACAGAACACUAUCCCAACUGCAGGUUCACUGAUAUAACCUAAAACCUUUUUAUAUAAAAAAAUGAUUCAUGAAAAUUCAUUAAAAUUGUGGAUAUAGCGUGUUGGAACCAAACUCUUCAAUUGUUUAGGGCUGCGAUGUGACGGGGACAUAAGGACAAAAUGGAGUAUUGAAGGUUACAAGCAAUUUUAAUACUCUCAAAAACCUUCAUAAACGAUGCACAAGCGAAUUCAAUUAAAUAAAAAGGCAUAGGUAAUGCAAAAAAGUUACUUUCAGAACACAUUUAAAUUGUAGAUAAGGCACUUUGCCUUUGUAAUAGUACUCUAGUUCGAGGUAAUACAAAGUCAGAGUGCAGUAUCUACAAUUUUGAGGUCAAAGGUCAUAUUGUUGGUCUUUUCUUUUUCUAUACAAUUUUCCAUCCUGUAAAGGUAUUCAUUGAAAGUAUCACCACUAUUGUACCUGCAACAGGUUUGGCCGGCCAGUAUGAAAACUUUGAAGGCAUUUUUCUCAGUUUCAAUGUUGACGUAGUAACUGCACUUUGCCUUUGUAGGGCAGUAUAGCUUCGGUAUGCAAGUUUCACUGAAAAACUGUCGGGAUGGGAUUGUAUAUUUUGGCUCCAGAGUAUGAAGUAGCUCACGAAAGCCGGCGUUCUCGACAACACGGUACGGCCUCAUGUCUUUGCAAAUGAAAUUUGAAAUGGCGGCUGUGAUACUCAUCGCUCUUUUGGAGUUGUGGUUCAGUUUUUGUGGGAAAAAACUGCUCAGGGCUGGUGUUGUUGACAAUGCCGAGCUGCCAUCGGACACAUCGACGACGUUGCCGCGUGCUUCAUAGGGGUCAAUGCCGUGUUUCUUUUUAAGGUGCCCGGACAGGUUAGUUGUAUUUCCCAAAUAUUUAAUGGCGGACCCGUCUUUUUUCAGAAUUCCUAAAUAUUUCCACACCGCUGACUUGUAUCCGAGAGGGGAUACAAUAGCCUGGACAUCAUCUUGGCUGUUAGUAGGAUUAGCAGUGCUGCUGCUGCUAGAAGCCAUACUAGACACCCUCCCAAUCAACCAUGUGCUCUUUGCGCUCAUGAUUGCCUCGUUUAACAGGUGGACGCAGUAACGCACAUGAGCGUCUUGGCGCGCUUGGCCGGAAAUAGUGCCACAAACACCCGCGCAAGGAGAUUGUC